rnacentral:rRNA from 1 species
GACAGAGGAUGCAAGCGUUAUCCGGAAUGAUUGGGCGUAAAGCGCGUGUAGGCGGCUCGGUAAGUCCGCUGUGAAAGUCGGGGGCUCAACCCUCGAAUGCCGGUGGAUACUGUCGGGCUAGAGUGCGGAAGAGGCGAGUGGAAUUCCUGGUGUAGCGGUGAAAUGCGCAGAUAUCAGGAGGAACACCAAUUGCGAAGGCGGAUCUCUGGGCCUUACCUGACGCUGAGGCGCGAAAGCUAGGGGAGCGAACAGG